rnacentral:rRNA from 1 species
AGUGAACGCUGGCGGUAGGCCUAACACAUGCAAGCCGAACGGCAGCACAGUAAGAGCUUGCUCUUACGGGUGGCGAGUGGCGGACGGGUGAGGAAUACAUCGGAAUCUACUUUUUCGUGGGGGAUAACGUAGGGAAACUUACGCUAAUACCGCAUACGACCUACGGGUGAAAGCAGGGGAUCUUCGGACCUUGCGCGAUUGAAUGAGCCGAUGUCGGAUUAGCUAGUUGGCGGGGGAAAGGCCCACCAAGGCGACGAUCCGUAGCUGGUCUGAGAGGAUGAUCAGCCACACUGGAACUGAGACACGGUCCAGACUCCUACGGGAGGCAGCAGUGGGGAAUAUUGGACAAUGGGCGCAAGCCUGAUCCAGCCAUACCGCGUGGGUGAAGAAGGCCUUCGGGUUGUAAAGCCCUUUUGUUGGGAAAGAAAAGCAGCAGGUUAAUACCCCGCUGUUCUGACGGUACCCAAAGAAUAAGCACCGGCUAACUUCGUG